CCUACGGGUGGCAGCAGUGGGGAAUAUUGCACAAUGGGCGAAAGCCUGAUGCAGCAACGCCGCGUGAAUGAAGAAGGGUUUCGGCUCGUAAACUUCUAUCCACAGGGACGAAGGAAAUGACGGUACCUGAAUAAGAAGCCCCGGCUAACUACGUGCCAGCAGCCGCGGUAAUACGUAGGGGGCAAGCGUUAUCCGGAAUUACUGGGUGUAAAGGGUGAGUAGGCGGCCUGGUAAGCUAGAUGUGAAAGCCUUGGGCUUAACCCGGGGAUUGCAACUAGAACUAUCAAGCUAGAGUACAGGAGAGGCAAGCGGAAUUCCUAGUGUAGCGGUGGAAUGCGUAGAUAUUAGGAAGAACACCAGUGGCGAAGGCGGCUUGCUAGACUGAAACUGACACUGAGGCACGAAAGCGUGGGGAGCGAACAGGAUUAGAUACCCCAGUAGUC
rnacentral:rRNA from 1 species